AUGCUUAAUUUAAAUAAAAAUGUAAAUAUUAAAAUGAUCUCAUAGUAUAAAGCCAGUAUAUGUCUAAAAUAGUAAUCAUUUAAAAUGUUUACAGUUCAACUUCCCUAGCAGUGGAACAUGUACAAUUAUGUACUAAACUACUGUAAUACAAAUGUGUACUGUAAUAUGAUGUGCUUUAUACUGUAAAUCAAAUAAUUAGCAACAAUGAUCACGUGGCUUUUAUAGCAUUCUAUACUAGGAAAGUCUUUUACGCUACACUGCCGCCUGCUGGUUGGAAAGGGCAGUGUCAGCCUUCAUGUCCACACCUUCAUGUAAAAAGUCACACUGUGGCCUUGCAGCCUUUGUUUUGCAACCAGGGUGGAACAUUCCGGGCCAUGUUGUGAUUUAUUCUUCACACUUGUCACGCAUUUAUGCCUCAUAAUCUUUAGUGCGCCUUUGUCCGGAAAGAAAGAUGCCUCUUGCAGCAGUUGUGUUUGUUUUGCCAUGUUGCUGCCUUUAUUUCCUUGUGUUGAGCACCUGCCUUGCAUGCAGCCCCUUCCUGUGCCUGAUUGAAAUUCCUCAACAUGUGCUUUCUUGUUGCUAUCUUGUUGCGGUGGUUAAAUAUACAAGAUGCACAUGAUAAGCACAAAUGUUUUAGUGAGUUGUGUUCAGUACUUCGCUGACUUUCUCAGGGGAGUGAUUAGCCGUCAGCUUCAUGCAGACCAGCUCAGAUUGCACAGCGAGAUUCCUCAGCGGAUUACUGGAGAGUUUAAGUUCACACUGAUGUGUGAUGAGGGUUCAGCAUUUUGCCAGAUAGUUAAUGGCUUUUUCAUGCGCUCUGUUAAUUAAUCAUUUACAUGUGUGUGUAUUCCGCAUCGCAGCUUCCCAAAAAAUAUAUAAACAACUGUAUGCUAAUGUAUUUUUUACCAUUUAAAUACGUAAAUACAUCUUUUAAAACUACUUCAGCCUGAAAUAUACAUAGCAAAUACUCAUUAUAUACAGUAUAUAUAUAUUUGAUACUAUUUAAAAUCCGGUAUGUUUACAUAACUCUCCAGUUUUGAUGAAUUAUAACAUUUAAAUGAAAUGAUUAUAUCCAGCUGAGUUUUGGGUAUUGUUGUGAUAAGAGUGUUGCAGGUAGAAUGGGCCAGGUGAUGCAUUACCUUAUCCAGGUGCACCCAACAGCGUGCCAGGUCGUUUAACAUUCCUUGAACAAAGCACAUACUGUAAUCGCGCUGCUUUGACUGAGGUCCAACAUGAUUAGCACAGAGUCCAAAUGUUGAUGUAACCGGUUUUAUUGGACGUGGAAUCAGGUCACAGAGCUAAUUGGGUCAAUCAUUUGAACAAUCAAGUGUUUUCAGACGCAACGUUACCAGAGUUAAGUUGAUCUGAGCGCUCAGAAUCAGCAGUGUUAGACGUAAGGAUCAAAUAUGGAGGAGAAAUCCCUUUUAAUCAAGCGUCCCCAUCAAGUCUUUAGUAUUCCUCUGUGCAAAAACUAGACCGGGGGUGGGCAGAGGUUUUGAUUCAUGGAUAAAAUAUCACUUUUCUGGAGAAUUUCUCCUUCGCUAGCUUCGUAUCAAAGCCUUGACUUCCUGGAGUGACGUCGGCCCGUGGAUUACCGCACGGGUGUCCAAACAUUAGUCCAGUUAUGAAUUUAUCACCACAAUAUUUUGCCUUUAUUCUCAUAACAUUAGAACGUUUAGUUUCUGCAACCUAAUUUUCCACAAAUUAUUAAUUUUUCAGUUUCUCAUAAUUUUACAACCUUAAUUAUUUUUUUUCUUAUUUCAAUUUUCUCCUAUUGAAAUCCCAUUAUUUUUGCUCAUUAUAUUACAGCGUAUUAUCUUGUAAAAUUACUAAAUUUUCUUUUUAGAUUGCUUAAUAUUUUUUUUACUAUAUUCUUGUAAAAUUACUGCAGAUUUUUCCCUUUUUACGGUUGUUUUCUUGUUCAAUGAUAUUAUAAAACGUGCCACAGGCCAAUUAAAAAAACAGCUAUGGGCCGCAAAUGGCCCCCGGUCUGCACUUUGGACACCCCCGUAUUACCGUAAUGACAUACACGGAGCCUCUGGUUUCAGAAGCCGUACAGUCGUUUAAAAGCACUUUGCCCACGCCUGAUCUAGACACCGUGAGCACAUCAGCAUAUGUUGACAUUCAACAAGAGGAAGAAUAUAAAAUAUGAGGCAGAAUACAACGAGGGGCUCCGAGGGCCCUUCUUUAGCUCCGCGGCAGCUUCAUCAUGGGGCCCCGGCUACAGCAUGGACAGACAUUCAUUCAGCGUUAUUGCUCAUAGAGUCACCGUUAAAGCCUCUACUCUGCUUUUCCUCAUACCCGUCUAAGCGCUCGCCUAAAGAGGUGCUAAACGCUAAAAAAGGCCUUCAAGUGCUUCCAGACAUGCAGAUAGGAAUGUGGAAGUUUCCUCCAUGCCCAAACCAGAACCAUAAUAUUUCUUUUUAAGGCUGAUUUGAGUCAUCAUGACAGCUAAAAUUUGAUAUAAAUAUUCCGGCUCCAGGCCAGGUCAUUUUUGCUUCAGGGACUUGAACUUACUGCUAAUACUGAUGGAGCAGUCUUCCAAAGUGCUCCUCUCCUCUGCAUAGCGUAGAGCUUCCUUUCAGAGAAAAGACUAUUUACAUCUGAGACGUGUGCUCGCUUGCAUGAAAGCAUAGAAAACUAGAUCUGACCGGACUAGUAGGAAGCAUCUCAGCGCCGAUGAUGAUGAUGAUCAUGAAAGGAAGCCUCAUCACCUUUUAGUUCAUGAACGCACGCGUCCUCGCCUUUCGUUUAGGUCUCUGGGUUGGGCGUGGCCAGCAGCGGAACGUUGUCCCGCCUCCUCCUGCCCAGUGGUGGACGUCGGUACUGCUCCCCGUCAGCCAGCGUCUGCGGCAGCGGCUUCCUCUUGCUCUCGGGCAGCAGCAGGAUGGACAAGACGGCCAGCAGGGCCAGCGAGGAGUAGACCACGUGGUGCAGGAAGUAGCCGUAGUGGUUCCUCAGGUCCAUGAGGGGGGAGCUGAGGCGGCCCACGCAGCCCAAGGCCAGCACGGCGCCCACGCCGGUGCCUCUGUGGACACACCCCCUCAGGUGUGAAUGGAAAGUACUUUACUUCCGCAUGGGGGGGCGUCCUACCUGAUGACGGUGGGCAUGAUCUCUGCCGUGAAGAGGAUGCAGAGGGAGGCGGUGGCCUGGGAGGAGAAGAGACCCAUCACGGAGAACACGGUGAUGGCCGUCUCGCUCAGAUCUGGAACAGGAAAGACGCCAAAGUCACGCAAUAGCUUUCUUAAAGUGGCAUGCAGGGUUCUUCAAUUGCUGGCCCACGGGUGAAAUCCAGGACGUAAAGAACAUCAGAGCAAACUUAGGAGCAACUCACAUUUUUGCAACAGAGUGAAAACAACGAUUAGAGGAUCUUUUUUUUUCAGCAUGGCCUUAAAACCACCAGAGUGGUCCUGUCAUAUAGAGGAUCUUUGAUGAGCAUUUUUGCAGCAUUUCCCUGAAAACAAGCAGAGCGCUCAUUUUUUCUGAUAGAGGUUCUUUGAUAGGUGCUUUUGUAGGAGGUCGUUGACGAGCAGUCUUUGUCAUAUACAGGAUCUUUGACAUGUAGCUUAUACACAGCAGAACUCAUGUAGAGGAUCUUUGAAAAAUGUUGAACGGUCUUGGUAUAUACAGGAUCUUUGACUAUUUGAACAGUCUUGGUAUAUACAGGAUCUUUGACUCGCAUUUUUGUUGUUGGUUCUUAAAAACAAGCAAACCUCUCCUUGAUACAUAUAUAGAGGAUCUUUGUGAUUUUGCAGUAUGUCCUGAAAGAAACAGUCUUCCAUAGAGGAUCUUUGAUUUGUUUUUGCAGUACGUUCGUAAAGAUCAGGCUUGUCAUAUGGAGGAUGUUUUUGCAGAAUAUUUUGAAGAACAGCAGAGAAGUCUUGUCAUGCGGACAAUCUUUGACAAGCCUUUUUGUAGUUGGUCCUUACAAACAGCAAAGCUGUCCUUACCAUAGAGGAUCUUUGAAAAGAGUUUUUGCAGUAGUACGUUGUUAAAAGAACAGUCUUGUAGAAGAUCUUUGAUUAGCAGGUCCCUAUAAACAGCAAAGCUCUUGUCAUUUUGAGGAUCUUUGAUAGAUGUUUUUGUAACAUGUACUUGAAGAGCAGUCUUGUCAUUUAGAGGAUCUUUGAGUGUGAACACUGCUUCUGUCUUAGUGUAUUUAUUACUUUAUGUAUGAUUAGUCGUUUGUUGAUGAAAUGUUAAAAAUGCAAAGUUAUGGCUGAGCCUUAGAAUGACAUUAUAUACAGAAUAAAAAUAAAAGAAAUGAGAAAAAAACUUUUAGUGGUUAACACUUAAGUCUUCAGUUGUACUGAAUGGGUAAAGUACAAGACUUAUCUUCUACCUCCUGAAAAGAAAAAAAACCUUGAAAUAUCAUCCAUGAUGGUUCUUUAACAUGUCGUGUUUCUUCUUUGCUGAAGGUGGAAAGGUUCUGCUGUGUCACGCUGCUAUGAUGUCACCCCCCACCAUGGAAACCCAAACCAGAAAGUGUGCAGCUUUGCUCUAUUUAUGUGCUACUACUUUUUGACCACAAGAGGGAGACAGAGACUAAGACAAUCCUGUCAAUUCUGUACCAUGCUAAUUAAAACUGAAUCAUAUCUACUUUAUGAAUCAUUGUAUCCUAUUCUCCCCGUACAGCCUUCUACGCUGGGUUUUCCUGAUGGCUUGAAGAAGUAAAGCACAUACUUACACUUCAUGAGUCCCAAAAGGAUCAAAGACGCCAGGCCUGUCAUCGUCAUGGAGAGCAGCAGGAUGCCACGGCGACCGCACCUGUUUACCGUCGCCCACAACAACAGCCAGGCCCCGCCCCCGGCGCACACGGAUAGCAGUGGACCUGGCGCCCCUGGGGGAACAUGGUGAGGUGUUCUGGCACCAGCAUCACAUCAUACAAAGCUGAGGAAGAGCGUUAGUGGGGCGGCACCGGCCCCCAGCAGACCCCUCCAGGACUGGCAGCCAAGGGCCACAGCCAGCAGCAGCAGCUCCCCGGCAACAGUCGUCAGCCCCCCCAGCAUGGUGGCUAUCAGCCUCAAAGACGGCUCGCACAGCUCCAGGCCUGAGAGACAAGCAAGUACGUAUUAUGUCAACAGGAAGCGGGAUUAUUAUUGUUUAUCCAAGCAAGCAUGCCCAUAAAGGCGAGAUGUGUUAAAACUCACGAGAGAUGUACAGGGUGAGGUAGACUCCAGCGGUCGUCGCCGCCAGACAGAAGCGCAUGACAAUGAAAAUGGAGGGGUACGGGGACACGCACACCAGAACACCAAACACCACCGACAGGGUGAGUGAUGUCAGCAAGGUCUUGGAGCGGCCGAUUCUGCAAAGAAACACACAGACGGCAAUUUUAGGUGCAUUUUUAAAGAGAAACACAGACUGAGGAAGAGAAAAAUCAUUAUUAUUAUUAUUAUUAUUAUUAUUGGAUUCUGACAAGAAGAACUGCAAAUAAGAAGCAAGGUGAAUGCUACAAACAUAAUGUAAAUAUAUAAAUAUACAUAUGUGUGUGUAUUUAGUCACCUGUCAGCAGCAAAUCCCAAGCCAAGACAUCCGGUGAGUACCCCCAGGAUGAAGCACACCUCCUCCACAGGGACCAGCCAGUAGCGAGUGCACACGAGAUCCCACUACACACAAGACGUUAAUUAUCAUCAGUGCAGUUUUUCUAUUGGAUUUUUAGUGUUACGAAUUUCAUCAGUAAUUACGUAAGCGUGCUCAAACACGUUCACUGCACUAAUUAGUGCAGUCACAUGAAAAGUCAUCCUUAACUAAAAACAGCUGCCACAAAUGUAGAUGUAUGAGGUAGACUUAUUUAUUUUUCUCUACAAACACAGUAAUAUCCGCAUAAUCGCCAUGGAGACAGUAAUGACAAUCUUGUAUCCACUGUUAGGGAAGCCCUUUCUUGAUGAUCGUAAUGGUGGAAAGUGAGAGACACAAGAGGGUCGCCUGCCUGAUUGGAACUGGAGCGCAGAAACAUAAAGGCUUGUCACAAACCAUCUGUCAUCCACUGCGCAGCGGCCCCCACCAGGGCAAGCGGCAUAGCAGGCCAGGGUGUUCAUGUGGGUGGACACACGUUGGGAAAAUGCACACAAACAAGUUCCGAGACUCACUAGACUGGUUUUACCAACGAGGCACUGGCAGUGUUAGCUUUGGGCUUUGUUAGAGCUCGAAAAACUGCAUAAGCGACCUUUCGGACUCGCUUCAAUGGCAACUUUUUUUUUUUUUUAAAGGAUGUGUCAUCGGAUAUGCCACUAUGGUAGCGUACUAUUCAAUCUUUGCUCUUGUUUUACACAUUUUUGCUGUUGAUUUUUUCAAAAUAUUUCAACUUUCUUUUAAUAAUCUUUGUAAAUUCUUUUUGUAAUAUAAUGACUUUAUUCCCUUCAUAGUAUAACCUUUACCCCGACCUAAUUUUCCACAAAUUACAACUUAAUUUAGUUUAGUUUGUCUUGCAAAAUAUUAUUCCAAUGUAUAAAAUAUUUUUUCCUUAAUAUUUCAACACUUUGCUAUGAAAAAGCAAAAUUUUUCCUCAUGAUAUUACAAGUUUAUUCUGGUAAAAUUGAGACUUUUUUGAGCCAUAUCAGUCGUAGAGGUCUUUUGUUUGUUUGUUUAAGUCGUGUUUGCUCUUGCACUGAUACGCCGAUAUAAGGCUGUUGUCCUAAAAUGACGCCCGUGGUACAUAUUUCGUCUUCGGAUGGCAACAUUUUAGCAAAAAUUUUGGAUGUCAACCAAAAAGCGCACUAACCGAGGCGGAUGUUAACCGAGGAACCAUUUAGUAUUCAGAGACUUGACUAUUACCCAAGCACGCCUUUAAGGACCUGUAGGCAGAGAAGCUGUUGAAGUAUGGAAGUGUCGACAUGUCUCUACUGAACAUGUAAGAUUUAGGGGAACGAGUUCUUCAUGAAUUUAUUGAUCAGGCGUUAAAUGCAGAUAGCGUCUGCGGAUGUGCUACACUCCAUUGCUUAGCAGCCAAGGUCUGAACUGCUUCCUGCUGAGCGAAGCAGUGCGGUACUGCAAUACAGUCCCUCAGGACUCGAAGCUCACAGUUUCCAAAGCCCCUUUUUAACUGCCUGUGAAAGGCGGACGUGUCCCCGCCUUUUUCAGGCUCUGGCGUUACAGUCAAAGCUCUGUUGUCAUACGCCCCGGUUUUCGUAUGAUGUAUAAUUUGUCAAAAAUAUCAACUUUUUAGUUUCACGUUCCGUGUAAAAGGCAACAUUUGACAGGAAUGAUGCAGCAUUUCUGUGCAUUUCUCUGUAAAAGAGGCCAUUUGAUGCCUGGUGCAUUUUGAGCUCACAUCUCCGGUGCAGGCAUUCAAUCAAUGUGUGCCCACAUACACACACACAGGCCACACUGUGUGAGAGCAGCUUGAGUGGAAAAGUCCAGCAGGCAAAACACAAUUAAAAUGCACAGAGCCUUAAUUAGACGAAGCCAAAGGUCCAACGCCGAAAUCCCAAAAUCCUUUCAAGAGAAAUGUUGACAAUUUCUCCCUCAUACUUUCUUAAAUCACAUUUCCAAAAUUCUCAGUAAGCUGAAGAACUGGUCUGGUUGGAGUUUACAACCUUGGAGAUUGAUGGUCAAUAACACCAGGUAAGGAAUGAUGUCAUCAUUAAAGACCUUCACCUCAACCUUUGGCGCCUUUUACCUUCAUAGUCUAUUGCGACCUGUAAUAUUUCAUCCAUAUGUCCCUGAGGCAUCACAUUCAAAGGCAAGGGGUGAUUGGAUGGACAUAUACGUAUGUAUGACAUAACGUCUCUGUCUCUAAUGCCACAGAUGCUUUUCCACUGCAGGAACCAGAAACUUUACCCUGAAAUUAUGAACUUUACCUUGGAACCAGCAGGUCUAUCCUGGAAUGAGGAAUUUUUGCCAGAACUAUGAACUUUACCCUAGAACUACAAACUUUACUCUGAAACUAUUAAAUUUUACACUGGAACCAGGAACUUUACCCUCAAACCAGAAACUUUACCCUAGAACUACAAACUUUACCCUCAAACUAUGAAGUUUUACACUGGAACUAGGAACUUUACCCUGGAACAAGGACAUUUAACCAGAAACUUUCCCCAAAAACUAGAAACAUUACCCUAAAAUCAGGAACUGUUUACUUUAACUCGGAAUUUUACCCCUGGAACCAUGAAAUUCACCCUGUAACUGGAAACUUUACCCAAGAACAAAUAACUUUACCCUGAAACUAUGAAAUUUUAAAUUUGAACUAGGAACUUCACCCUCAAACCAGGAACUUUACCCUGAAACUAUUAAAUUUUACACUGGAACUAGGAACUUUACCCUCAAACCAGGAACUUUACCCUAGAAGUACAAACUUUACCCUCAAACUAUGAAGUUUUACACUGGAACUAGGAACUUUACCCUGGAACAAGGACAUUUAACCAGAAACAUUCCUCAAAAACUAGAAACAUUACCCUAAAAUCAGGAACUUUACUCAGGAACUAUUUACUUUAAUUCAAAAAUGUACCCCUGAAACUGGAAAUUUUAACCAGAAACUAAGAACUUUACCCAAGAACCAAUAACUUUACCCUGGAACUAAACAUUUUACCCUGAAACCAGAAUGUUUACCCUGGAAGUAUGAACUUUGCCCUUGGAGAAAGAUGGCGGCAUCUCCAUGCCACAUUACGUGGGCCUGACUGGUGAAACAGAAAGAAAUGUGAGAAGGAGGCAGUAAGAGAAACCUCCUGUAACAGGUUUCACCUGUCGUAGUCAUCAAAUAUUGAUGGCAUGUAUGUCGCACAUCAACUCUCUCGAUUUGAUUACCUGAAAUUGAAUAGCCUCAAUGACGCUUUACCUCCGUAACAAUGUUGCUGCUCAGCCCUUCCGUGAUGUUGUAGUCCCAUCCGGCCUGGCAGUCCACCACAUCCGUCAGGCUCCCGUUGGCGUACUGCUUACACUGGGACAAACCCCCGCCGUCACCAGGCCUCAAGCCCUUAUCCCAGGGCAGGGAGGCGUUCAGCGUCUCGGGGGACGUCGACGGCCCCGGCAGGUGGCAAUGGUGCGGAGAGGAGAGGGUGAUGAGGGGGUCGGAUGAUAGCAGGAAAGCCAGGAAGAGAUUGGGCAGGAUGGACAGCGCAAUCAGGACCCUCUGCUUCUUCCUGCCCAGAGCGAGAACCAUCACCUCUCCUGUGGGAGGCA